rnacentral:rRNA from 1 species
AACGAACGCUGGCGGCAUGCCUAACACAUGCAAGUCGAACGAGACCUUCGGGUCUAGUGGCGCACGGGUGCGUAACGCGUGGGAACCUGCCCUUAGGUUCGGAAUAACUCCCCGAAAGGGGUGCUAAUACCGGAUAAUGUCUUCGGACCAAAGAUUUAUCGCCUUUGGAUGGGCCCGCGUUGGAUUAGCUAGUUGGUAGGGUAAACGCCUACCAAGGCGACGAUCCAUAGCUGGUCUGAGAGGAUGAUCAGCCACACUGGGACUGAGACACGGCCCAGACUCCUACGGGAGGCAGCAGUGGGGAAUAUUGGACUAUGGGCGAAAGCCUGAUCCAGCAAUGCCGCGUGAGUGAUGAAGGCCUUAGGGUUGUAAAGCUCUUUUACCCGGGAUGAUAAUGACAGUACCGGGAGAAUAAGCUCCGGCUAACUCCGUG